GUGCUCGCUUCGGCAGCACAUAUACUAAAAUUGGAAGGAUACAGAGAAGAUCAGCAUGACCCCUGAGCAAGGAUACAGGCAAAUUGGUGAAGGAUACACGCAAAAAUU